AGUAUUAUACAGUUACAUCCUGUUACAGAAUUAUCAAAGAAACCAGCCCUGAACACAUUUCACAGCCAAACGAUGGAGCGCAUAACUAACCAUAGACGUCGGUUGCUUGUGUUGGUUCCCCUGGCAGUGUUUCUGGCUGUGGUGGUCGUGAUUGGGGGCACUCUGGCAAGAGGCUAGAGAUGCAAAAAUCCAGGCGUCUGUACAGGAAACAAAGCAUGAAGAUGUGUCUGCUGGAAUGGAUUCACUAUCACUGCCACUCUCUCUCUCACUCCUGCAUUCCUGUUCAAUGCUGUAUAUAUAAUAUACUGACUAUACACUUUAUUAGAAACCCCUCCACCUGUUAGUAGCUCCACCUUGCUAGUGUACAGUUACAUACCAUGUCAGUGUCACUGUUGAUCGGAGAAUGAUCCACAACCCAAAUACUAUGUAAACAGGGGUCAUGUGGUCAAAAAUGGACCAACGAUGAGUGGGGUAGAAGCGAGCUUUUAGCAGAAACAGAAACAGAUUAGCUCAAGUCUUAGUGUACAACUAUGCAUUGGGCCUAUAUAAAAACUUUGGUGUAGCUGAAAGUAAUACCUACAGUUUGAAUAAGUAGCAAAUGCAAGACUCUAAAACGUAAAGAAUAUUAAAAUACAUAUAGGCCCAACAUAGUGAGCAUAUAUAAAU